UACGUAGGUGGCAAGCGUUGUCCGGAUUUCUUGGGUUUAAAGGGUGCGUAGGCGGUUCUAUAAGUCAGUGGUGAAAUACGGCAGCUCAACUGUCGAGGUGCCAUUGAUACUGUGGAACUUGAGUACAGACGAGGUAGGCGGAAUUGACGGUGUAGCGGUGAAAUGCUUAGAUAUCGUCAAGAACACCGAUAGCGAAGGCAGCUUACUAGACUGUAACUGACGCUGAGGCACGAAAGUGUGGGGAUCAAACAGG
rnacentral:rRNA from 1 species